rnacentral:rRNA from 1 species
AAACGGGUGGUAAUGCCGGAUGCUCCAGUUGAUCGCAUGGUCUUCUGGGAAAGCUUUCGCGGUAUGGGAUGGGGUCGCGUCCUAUCAGCUUGACGGCGGGGUAACGGCCCACCGUGGCUUCGACGGGUAGCCGGCCUGAGAGGGCGACCGGCCACAUUGGGACUGAGAUACGGCCCAGACUCCUACGGGAGGCAGCAGUGGGGAAUAUUGCACAAUGGGCGCAAGCCUGAUGCAGCGACGCCGCGUGAGGGAUGGAGGCCUUCGGGUUGUAAACCUCUUUUAUCGGGGAGCAAGCGAGAGUGAGUUUACCCGUUGAAUAAGCACCGGCUAACUACGUGCCAGCAGCCGCGGUAAUACGUAGGGUGCAAGCGUUAUCCGGAAUUAUUGGGCGUAAAGGGCUCGUAGGCGGUUCGUCGCGUCCGGUGUGAAAGUCCAUCGCUUAACGGUGGAUCCGCGCCGGGUACGGGCGGGCUUGAGUGCGGUAGGGGAGACUGGAAUUCCCGGUGUAACGGUGGAAUGUGUAGAUAUCGGAAAAAAACACCACAC